ensembl:snRNA U6 U6 spliceosomal RNA
GUGCUCACUUCGCCAACACAUAUUCUAAAAUUGAAAUGAUACAGAGAAGACUAACCUGGCCCCUGUGUCAGGAUGACAUGCAAAUUCAUGAGCAUUCCAUAUUUUU